rnacentral:rRNA from 1 species
GACGAACGCUGGCGGCGUGCCUAAUACAUGCAAGUCGAACGAACCGCGACUGAGUGCUUGCAAUUGGUCAAGGUGAGUGGCGAACGGGUGAGUAACACGUGGGUAACCUACCUCAUAGUGGGGGAUAACAGUCGGAAACGACUGCUAAUACCGCAUAGGACAUAGGCUCACAUGAUCCAGUGAGGAAAGGUGGCGAAAGCUAUCGCUAAGUGAUGGACCCGAUGUGCAUUAGCUAGUUGGUAGGGUAAAGGCCUACAAUGGCGAUGAUGCAUAGCCGACCUGAGAGGGUGAUCGGCCACAUUGGGACUGAGACACGGCCCAAACUCCUACGGGAGGCAGGAGGAGGGAAUCUGGCGAAAUGGACGAAAGUCUGACGGAGAAACGCCGCGUGAGUGAAGAGGGUCUUCGGAUCGUAAAGCUCUGUUGUUAGAGAAGAACAGCGCAUAGAGGAACUGCUAUGCGUGUAACGGAAUCUAACCAGAAAGCCACGGCUAACUACGU